GAGCGGGAAAAGCUCAAAUUUAAAAUCUGGCGUCCUCCGGGCGUCCGAGUUGUAAUCUGGAGAAGCGUUUUCCGCGUCGGACCGUGUACAAGUCUUCUGGAAYGGAGCGUCAUAGAGGGUGAGAAUCCCGUCUCUGACACGGACUACCGAUGCUUUUGUGAUGCGCUCUCGAAGAGUCGAGUUGUUUGGGAAUGCAGCUCAAAAUGGGUGGUAAAUUCCAUCUAAAGCUAAAUAUUGGCCAGAGACCGAUAGCGAACAAGUACCGUGAGGGAAAGAUGAAAAGCACUUUGGAAAGAGAGUUAAACAGUACGUGAAAUUGUUGAAAGGGAAACGCUUGAAGUCAGUCGCGUUGGCCGAGACUCAGCCUGGCUUGCCUGGUGUACUUCUCGGUUGACGGGUCAGCAUCAGUUUUGACCGUCGGAUAAAGGUUGGAGGAAUGUGGCAUCCCUCGGGAUGUGUUAUAGCCUCUGAUUCGCAUACGGCGAUUGGGACUGAGGAACUCAGCACGCCUUUAUGGUCGGGGUUCGCCCACGUAACGUGCUUAGGAUGCUGGCAUAAUGGCUUUAAGCGACCCGUCUUGAAACACGGACCAAGGAGUCUAACAUGCCCGCGAGUGUUUGGGUGUUAAACCCGAGCGCGUAAUGAAAGUGAAAGUUGAAUC
rnacentral:rRNA from 1 species